UACGAAGGGGGCUAGCGUUGUUCGGAAUUACUGGGCGUAAAGCGUGCGCAGGCGGCUUCUCAAAGUUCAGGGGUGAAAGCCCAAGAGCUCAACUCUGGAAUUGCCUUUGAGACUGAGUGGCUUGAGUACGAGAGAGGUGAGUGGAAUUCCCAGUGUAGAGGUGAAAUUCGUAGAUAUUGGGAAGAACACCAGUGGCGAAGGCGGCUCACUGGACCGUAACUGACGCUCAUGCACGACAGCGUGGGGAUCAAACAGG
rnacentral:rRNA from 1 species